CCUCUGUCCAGCUUGAAAAUGUACAAUUAAUGUCAAAGCUCUGUACUCUGUUUUUAAGCCAAUGAUCUACCCAAGAACAACAAGAAUUUUCAUCUAAACCGAUUUCUUUGAGUUUGAACACUAAUCUAUUGUGUGGAACUGUAUCAAAUGCCUUGGCAAAAUCCAAAUAGAUCACAUCCACGGCAACACCCUGAUCUAUACUUCUAC